CAUGGAGCUGUGUGAGGGGAGGGCAGCUGGGGCUUAGGGACAGGUGCUGCAGCAGAGGGCGGUGGGCAUGAAACGGGCUGCACAGGCCCUCCGAGUGCUGGAGUUUAAGGAGCGUUUGGACACUGCUCUAGAGUUUGAAUGUUGGGUGGUCUGUAUGGAGCUGGGAGUUGGACUCAGUAAUCUUUGUGAGUCCCUUCCAACUCGGGAUAUUUUAUGAUUUUUGUGAUUCUGUGACUGUAUGAUUCUUUGAAGAGCAAGGAGUGCAUCUGUGUUGUGCGAGGCAAGGCGUAUUGUGUUUAUGGGUUCUCCAGAUGUCAGGCUUUUGAAGCAGUAUAGAUAUGACCUUGAGUUCUCUUCCUAGCUUUGCCACUUGCCUUCAGCUAGUGUUCAACUAGUGGGUUUAACUCUCUAUGCCUCUUCCUCUGGUUACCCUUUGCCUUUAAUGGCCACUGAAACUAAAUUAUUUAUGGUAUACUGAUGUGUGUGAGCUGCAGUUUGAGCCAAGACUCAUAUAGGCUAUGCUUCCGUAUGCAGCAACCCCACUAUGGGGACUGCUUUACUUUGAUAUCACUGAAUUGGAAAAACUUUCUCAGUGCUUUGUGUGUCUGUGGGGGUUCUGUGUACAUACAGAGGUAUUGUAAUAACCACCUUAUCUCAUAGCUGAGGGAGGGCAUCCGCACUGUUCAGAAUACUGUUAGAGGGCUGCAGUGGCUGAGGAUACUGGCACCAGACAUUUUCAGUUGGUCUGCAGUUCCUCAGUCUGCAUACUUAGCCAGUUUCUUUCCUGCUUGAUCAGAUUUAUAUCUAAGUUGUUUUCACUGUUAUUCAAAAGAAUUAAUUUUACAGAGAAAAACUUUCUAUAUUCUCCUUUUCCCUUCUCAUUUUGGAUUUGUUAAAGAUUUGAAAUGAUAGAUGAAGCCUCUAGUACUGGGAUGGUGGUGCACUUACCAGAACCAAAACAUGAUAAUGCUGAGCCAUCAUAUAAAACAAAGGAAGUAAGAUCUGUAAACGCAAUUAGCGGGAAGAGUUGUGUUUAGAACAUGAGAGAUUCUUGUACAAUUUUUUUCUGCCGUUCUCUGUAAAGUGCUUUCACAGAGCAGUAACUAUCACAACCUGUCACACCAGUGUCAAACAGACAUAGAAGAGCUGGUUGAAUUUCUAACAGAGGUGUGGAGAAGAGUAAGACCAUACUGGAUUGCUUUUCAGCCUUUGUAGAUAAAGCUGUUCAUUGCCAUGCUGGUUAGGUUGUAUUUCUUUUUCCCGUCUAAUGUUUUGUCCUUGGUAAGAUUUGAGUUCAAACUGGUGAUGACUUCUGUCACAAAAAACAGUAGGGGAGUAGGGGGACGCAACACAAAAAUGGAAGUAGAAAUGUAAUCUCAAGCCUUUCUUAAAUUCAGAAUUCGUUCUUAAUAGAGAUUGCUUUAACUUCAGUUUCUCGUGUGUGUCACCAGAAUAUUUAAGAGUAUUGAAUUUCAUGCCCUUUGCUUAGAGAUGUGUGUUAACAAACAGUGUAGAGUAAAUGUAAGCAUAAUUGCUAUUCUGUCUUCAAUAACUAUAUGUCUAGGUGCCUUCUUAAUCUCUUCCUUCCAACCCCUUUAAUUUCAGUCAUAUGGAACCCAUAAGGGCCAUGUCACCCAGCCUGUAUGGCAACAGCUUUCCCCAGUGUAUUAGUAAUGGUCUUCAAUAGCAAGGUCAGAAAGACUGAAGUGCAAAACUUGGGAAUGAUUGCUUUUUGUGUAGUGUGGCCCAUUUAGAUUGUUCAAAGAUUCUGGAAACCUUUCUUCUUAAUUUUGUUAAUAUACUUGCUUUCAGUGCAAUCUCAUCUCACAUCCAUCUGAAACAUGACACUGACUAAUCUUUUCAUUUGCUUAACCUGUUUACUAAACCCUGAUUUUCCCAGACCGCCGAGGAGAACACACAAAGGUACACUUUAAGAAUAUAGAGCAGCCAGCUGCUAAAAUAAAGGUAUUGAAUAUAGGAAGUAGGAGUUCUUUACAGCAAUUUAAGCUAAUCUGUCUAACUUUGUGUAGAAGGUGGAUAGAGGGACCUUGUGUAACAGGGGAGUGGUGUACAGCAUGGGAAUGGUGAGCUCUUGGGCUGCUCUGCAAGAGAUGUAUUCCUUUCCUGUCCUUCCAUUUUGAAACAUGUCACUAAAAUAAGAAACAACAACCAUGUGAAAUUCUUUGAAAGCUUUCACAUUAUUUUGCAUAUCAUAAAGAGGCAAAGGCUGGCAACUUCUUCUUUGUGGACAACUUUACUCUCUCUUUACUUGAAUAGCUUUAGAUUGCUGCUUCAGAUUGAUGAUGUUCCAAUAAUCACAUUAAUGUACAGGCUGAACUUGAAGACCUGUAUUUUCAUUUCUUUAUAGAUAUCUUAAAAAUGGACUUUUGAGGAUGAGAUGGCUCUUAUUUCCCUUAAAUAAAUUACUUCAGGAAGAGGUGAUUAAAAUCUAUUUGUCUAGUUUAAUCCAUUGAUUUUAAAUUGUAUGUCUUUCCCUUGUGGAACUAUGCUUUUGAUAUUUUUUUUGAUCUAAGAUUACCCAGAAACUUAGUACUCUUAACAAGAGGGAUUGUGAAGCUUUGGCAUUUGUAAAAGAUACAGGUAUGAAAUGAUAAAAGCAUGUUCUUUCAAGGAAGUUUACUCAGUUUUGGUUACUGUUUGUUUUUCUAGUUUCAGAAACCUUCUGCUUCAUCUCCCAUUGCUGUUUUUAUAGAUAAGAAGGAUUCUAUAAUGCAGGCUGAAGGCUGCGAGUGCCUUUUCUGUCCCCUCAAAAUUUUCUGUUCUGGAGCUGCACCCUUUCAGACGCUUUGAACUUGUGGAAGUGGCAGGGGCAACUUUCGGAAACAUGUAGCUGCCAAGCUGCCUGUGAUGUGAACUUAAAAUAGACCCGACUGGGAAAAGCGGGGAGGACUGUCUCCAAGUGCCGCUCUGCAUGUCAGGACUGUUUUUGCUUGAUCUAUAUCGGCUGGUGAAGCUCUUUGUGAGCAGAAGAAAGAACCUCACCCCCACCCAUUUCCUCUUUUCAGGCUAUUUUGGGCUCACUGUGAAGUUCUCAGUGUACUUUCUCAGCCAGAGAAGCAUUGUGAACUCCUUCUGCUUCUACCAGAAUGAGUCAGUUGUUUUCACUGAGGUUUUCAUCAACUUCAGCCACUGUGGAGUCCAAUUUUCCAUGUGAGAAAAUGGAUGUAAGAGUCCUCCUGUCCCUAAGGUUGCAUACAUGUUCCAAGAAAAACACCUAGAGCAGAACAAAAACUUCUGAAAGAUUCUGAAAGUAACACACUUUCGGAUUACUCCUCAUAGAAAAGUCUGAAUGAUUGAAAAAUAUACAUAUAAAUGACAGAAGGAGAAUGGAAGGAGAGUUGGAAGGACUUUAUUGUUUGUUAGGUUGGGGAUUUUUACUGUUUUGUGCAGUACUGCAGGAUCCUGUAGUUCCUCAACUUCUCAGAGUGGUUUCUACUUGAACCUACUGAAAGCUGAGCAGUUCAGAGAAGGAGGGAUUGCUAUAAACUGCAAAAUGUUCUUGGUGUUGUGAAUACUAGCGUAAUCCUAGGAAACAUUUGGUUGAAAGGCUACACUUGGUGAAAUGUAAGAAUUUUCCAGAGGCACCCUUGAAAAAAAUUCCUCCGUGGGAAUGGAAAAAAUGAACGAUGUGAUUUUUCUGUUCUCGUGAAGUUUAAAAAUCAAGAACAAAUCAGGAAGGGAUUAUUCAUAUCUUCCUGCAUCAUCGUAAAUCAUCCUAGCAUAAAAAAAAAAAAGAAAAAAGUAAAGAAAGAAAGAAAGAAGGACUUGCAUUCACUAUUCAAAAAUUCUUUGAAGUCUCCUGCUCCUUCCUCAGUCACAGUGAGGUCAGUUGGCAGUUUCUGACUUCUCAGCAUAGACUGCUAUGUUGUAUUUUGCAUUGUAAAACUAUCAGUCUUCUGACUAUAUGAAUAUCCCAAAAAGGUAUGUUUGGGGAUUAUUUUCAAGGUGAACAAGUUUUUUCUGGAAGAACCAGCUGUCACCACUUUGCCCCCAAAUUUGUAAUUUUAUUAUUUGGAAAUGUUUUACUUUUGGGUGUUGAGUUCAUCUUCUGUGCUUAACUGAGAUCUGAAGUCUUUUGGGGUGAGUUGUGAGACAAAAGGAACUUUUUAACUUUACAUUUCUACAUCACUUAUUUUUGGUGUUGUUUAGUCUGUACUAAAAUCCUAGGUAAAAGCAUGGGCUUUGUUGUGAACACGUGAGGAUGUUUUCAGAUGUAGUAACUUGGAGUCAGUCCUGGUAGUGAUGUUUUCUCCCAGGCUUUUAUCUUGUCCCAUCUCUUCCCUGAGCAGAGGCACCCUGGAACAGCUUAUUAUUUUCAUGGCAGUAUCAGCUUCUCCAGCCUCUCUUGCUGUUUCUUCAGUCACUUGGUAACACGUUGCUAUUAUUUUUCUUCAGAAGUAAGUCCUUGAAUCUUCCUCGUUUGUCUAUGCACUGAAAAUAAAUAUAUUUUGUUAAGUCCUCUCUACCGCUGUCAGAAAGUUUUUGGGACACCAGCUUGCUGUUUUUUUUCCUUAGAAUUCAUAAAGUUGCAGCAAAAAAAUGCGAAGAUAUUUGGGGAGGGGUGAGAAGAGCAGUGCAGCCUAGGCUUCCAAGCCUGACAUCCCCACCAUGACUUGUAUUUUUCUAUAUGGCUAGCAGGCCUAAACCUAGAGUGAAAUGUAUUAUAGUUAUGUUGUCUCAGAGCUGGCUGCCAAUGUUUUGUUUUGGUUUUAAUUCCUUUGCUACUAAAAAUUUGCUCUGCAAUCUCCUGCCCCUGACUUCUGGCAGUAAAGAAUUUAAAUAAAUAGCAUUUUCCUUUUGGGAUGGAGGUAUAAUUUGUUAGAGGUCAAAUCAGAGACCUUCAUGGUUGUGUUUUAGGGAGCCCAGGCUCAAAAUACUAUAAAAAUAGUUAUUUGAAAUAGCUCCUUGUAGGUAUUUCUCUAGCAGCGUGUUUUCUCAUGUUGGCUGAUGGAGGAGAGUGGCUGCUGGGGGUUGGGUAAGCAAGGGGAAACACAUGGGGUUUCUUUCAGCGGCUGUGGGAAGAGUUUCCAUCCUAGUGAGCCAAGCACAGACAGCCCAGCCCAGCUGAUGCUGCUCUCUGAGGAAGGUUGUUGUAAGCAGCUGAAGUGUGCAGGCUCAUAAAUCCUGGGAUGUAUCGACGUCUUCGUCAGUGCCAGUCUGAGUGCAGGAACAUUCUCAUUCAGGCGUUGCUCCAGGUGGCUGGGGACAAGGCAGGGUUACGUAUUUACAGCCACAGCAGCCUGUUGCUAGAGCCUGUUACCACUGUGCAAUAGCCCUGGUUUGUAGUAGCUGGGUCAUGACAUUGGCAUAAGAUACUCUGCACAGCUGGGCCCUGCCCGUGCCAGAUACCAGUCCCAUGGUACGAGCUGACCCAGCUGCACUGAAAGUCUCAUUCUUUUCUCUGUUAUUUCUUCAGUCAAACAAUGCAAAGGGAGAGUUACAGCUAAUGCAGGCUCUUGCACACACGUGCAUGAAAUACGUCAAUAUUAAGCAAACACAAGUCUGUUCUUUCUUUCCUUUUCUUACGGCUUCUUCUUAAACAUCUGCAGUUGUCCAAGCUGCAUGUAUUGCUCUGCUAACAGCAGAAAGUGUAUUGAAAUAAAAAUAAAAAAGAGUGUGUAUAUGCAUUAAAAAAUAUAAAUCCCACUUUCUGUUUCAGUUUUGCUUUGGGAAGAGCAGUUUCAAGCAUUGUGGAAUAAUGCAAGCAGAACGUUUUUCUAAUGAGCAUCAUUUCAUUUGAGUAGGAAAUACAGAAAUAGGAAAUAGUGCACAUUACACAGGUCAGUAACUAAGGCCCAAUUACAUACUUAUUUGUAAAGUGUCCAAUUGCAAAGGUCAGCAGUCAGCUUUUUUCUUCAAUCUCAAGUGUCUCAUAGGUAUAUAUUUACAAUUCCUGCAUCAGCUUCAUAAGCAUAAAAUGAGCUCCAAGUCUCUUAGUUGCCUUGAGGGUUUUCUAGAUUGGGGACAGGCUUUGUUUCCUAAGUUUGAAUCUAGUCCAAGAAAGAGGUUUAAAGUAUUACUAUAAAAGAAUAGAUAUAAAAAUGCAAUUAAUAAGUAUGGGAUAAUGCUGACAAACAAGUGAGGAAACACUUUUUUUAAUCCUGAUUCAGAUGGCAGUCUGAAUCAGGAUUUAGCUCAGAGCAAAUUGCCAGUCUGAAACAUACAAAAAUCAUCUGCCAAGCCUUAAAGAGAGAAAGAGAUAGGGAAUCGCUUAAAAUAGUGAUGUUAGGAAAAAUCAACAAAUGACAUCAAACCAACAAAAGUUUCCAGUUCUUUUUAUUUGUUUACUGGCUUUUUAUUUCCUCUUGGGAAACUCUGCAGCCAGAUUUUCAGGCUGUCCUCUGCACUUACGGGAACCUGGAAGGAUUAGCUUUUAAAUGGAAGCCAAGUUUCUCAAGAAGAAACAUGACUCCAGGAACUGGGGACUUAGAAGAAAAAGUGCAAAUGUCAGAGUAUUAGAGAUGGCUUCCUUGAUGCCCGGCUUUCCCACAAGCCAGGACAGCCACAGUCCUUGACAAAGCAACAAGAUGGCGCACAGAUGCUACUGGAAGCCAUUUUGAAAGGCCUGGAGGGCAAAGGUGGGACACACUGUGUGUUAUCAGGCCUGCUAACUCAGGCAUGAGGCUUCAAGGGGCAGCACGUAGCAACGGGGCUCCGUUGUUCCGAUCUGUCUCUGCUUUCUGGAAAGCACCACAGGGCGCGAUGUGAGAAACCAAGGGUGGAGCCGCGUGCUUGCGUGAGCAGCCUCAGCAGGACCGGGCCUGACCCUCUUCCCGCUGAAAUCAAUGGGCACCUCGCCAGUCCCGUCAGCGGGACCAGGAUCCGUGCCAACAGGGAAAGGGAAGCCAACUGAUGAGGCUCCUUCUGCGGCCUGUUCAAGGAGAAACAUUUUUUAAAAAAUACAAUAGCACAAGUAGGUGAAAAGAAAUUGACACCAUUAACACAGAUGCUUCCACUCAUACCCACAGGGAGGUGUAUUUGUAGGCAAUGUGUCUAUAGUUCUGGCCCCUAUUGCUCCAAGAGUACGGGAGGCUCGGUGGCUGGCUUUGCUCUCCAGGAGGGGAGUUGGUGCGGGUGUUGGGGCUGUGGGACAUGAGGAAUUGGAGGACGGGACAUCUGGCAGCCAGCAGCUCUGUGGCGGGCUUGCCAUGAGGGCAAGGAACAUGCUGUUCUCAAUAAGAGACAGCUGAGAAACCCCUUACUUAAAAAAAACAUGGAAAUCUCAUCUUAAUGACCCAGAUCUUCCAAAGCUUUUCCUAACUUUUCUUCUUUUCAUUAGUGCUAAUCUUAUUUCUUAAUACCAAUUUUCUUUCCCCUGAGGAAUUUAGUAGGUAAUGGUGUCUUUACCUUUUUCUCUCCCACAGUGAAGUUUUUGAAGUGAUUUUUUCAUUUCUGAAGAGGACUUUCUGGAUUGUUUGUUUAAGUAGAAGUAGAAGUAGGUCAACUAUUUUGUAACUGCACUUUUGCCUUUAAAAGCAAAUCACAUUAAAAGUGAUCCUUCAUAUUUCUCAGUGUAUGUGCCAGCUAUGUGUAAUUUUAGCUUGUGAUAGUGGUGAUGGGUCAUUUUGGGCAAGGGAAAACAAACUCUCUGGAAUCAGUGGUGAGAGCAGAGUAGGAAAAUAGCAAAAGCACAUGGAAUUAUUUCCUAAAAAAUUUAGUGUUUAGUGAGAUUUUGGAAACCCUAUGUGUAGAACAGUUACAGCUCCAAACUACUGUGUUUUAAAAACUGCUUACCUUAUGCAAGGACUGCAAGCAGAGCUGUUACAGUAGUUGGAUGUCCGAAAGCACAUUCUUAUUAUGUUACCUGGAGAGUUCUUCGGGUACCAAAUCUGCUCAUAUUAAUCACAUCCACACCAGUAAAACAAAC